rnacentral:rRNA from 1 species
ACGUAGGAUGCAAGCGUUAUCCGGAAUGACUGGGCGUAAAGGGUGCGUAGGCGGUAAAUCAAGUUGGCAGCGUAAUUCCGGGGCUUAACCGCGGAACUACUGCCAAAACUGGUGAACUAGAGUGUGUCAGGGGUAAGUGGAAUUCCUAGUGUAGCGGUGGAAUGCGUAGAUAUUAGGAGGAACACCGGAGGCGAAAGCGACUUACUGGGGCACAACUGACGCUGAGGCACGAAAGCGUGGGGAGCAAACAG